rnacentral:lncRNA from 1 species
GUUUUAUGUAUCAAGCUGGGUACCAGCAUGGGCUGCCCACAAAACCUAACCCCCAGUGUAUACUCUGCCCAUCGGGAGUCAGCUGGGGGCCCUGGUGCCUAAUGCCCAGCCCACGGCUGCCUGGCUGCACAGCUUUCCUGGUCCCUCUCCCCUGCUGGUGCUGGCGCGAGCAGCUGGCAGUGGCUUUCUUCCUGGAAACCCCAGGUGGAUCCCGAAUGCUCAGCCUGCAGACAAACAUCCUCAGGGCUGUUCCCUAGCAACCCACACUGCUCCAGAGCUGCAGGUCCGUGGCAAAAGCCCUCCCAUCCAUUUGCAGCGAGGCGUUUGGUUUUAGGUGCUCUAGGAUGCUUCCUAAUGUCCCUGCAAUGAUCCACGAAGCCAUUUGCUUAUAAAAUCUGCCAUGCGCCUCCCCGCUCCCGCCCCCACCCCUGCCCUUCCUCCAGAGCUGAGUGCCGUGAACCUUCUGCGGCAGACGCAGCCAAUGGAACCCUGGGUGGCUUGUCGAACAAAGCCCUCGUUCCACGGUGGCAGCGGCAGCGUGGGGCGUCUUCCCUUGUGGCGAUGCUGCUGCCCACCGUGGGCUGUGCGGGAAGGGGGUGGAGGGAUGGCCAGGAUCCAGAAGACAAGAAGCAAAACAAGCCCAGCGCCAGGCAGAGUAACUGCAGAUCCAAUGGAAAAAAUGCCCAGCCUACCGAGAUGCCAAUUAGUCUGUCUUCCCACGGUGGGCCAGCAUCCCCGCAGGAAGAAAUCCGGGGAGCGGACAGUGAGGUCCUCAGAAAGCCCAGCUGUGAUGAAUAGGACUUCUGCUUCCCCUGGGACCUGGCUGGUUAUUUUGUAGGAAAUUGAAUUUCUUGAACAGGAGCUUUAGGAAGACACACACUGGGGCUGCUUUGGUCACUGUCAUCGUAUCUCCUGCACCCAACAAAUCCACAUGUGGGGAGCUGCUCCACAACUGCCUGCCUGAGAAAUGAAGAAGGGGGCACGUUCAGCCUCCAGGCCCACUUGGCUUUCUCAGCCCAUCCAUGGGACGGCUUCUUCUGGUUUGUCUCAGGCCGGUGCAAACUGCCCAAUAUUCCUAUUUCUAUUUUUAAAAAUAUUACACGUGUUCAUCUCUAUGGAAUACAACGCGAUGCUUGAAUUUAUGCACACAUUGUGUCAUGAUCAAAUCAGGUAAUUAGCAUAUCCAUCACUUCAUACGUUUAUCGUUUCUUUGUGGUUAGAGCAUUCAAAACCUCUCUUCUAGCUGUUUUGGAAUGCACGAUACAUUACUGUGAACUGUGGUCAUCCCACUACGCAAUAAAAUACCAGAA